GUCACAUGUUCUUUUUGGAGGGAAAAUUCUAUUGUUCUGGACACUCUUAUUUCAACUGUCAUAGUGAGAAGAUAGAUUUCACAAUUUUGGAGUGUGCAAAUGGUCUUAUAUGAAUUAUUGUAUAGUUAUUGCUGAAUCUUUUGGGAAUUCAUAUUACUACUUUACAGGUUAAUAUUUGAUGUACAUGUAGCCAAUACACAUAUGAAGUCUUGUGACCUUCAAACUAGCACUUGAGGUUUGAUUACUACAGAAUUUAGAAACAAGAAGGAUAAAGUAUUCACAUCAAUACAGUUUCAACUACAGAUACAUUAAUUUAAUAAAAGGCGCUUCUAUGCAGAAAAUGAGAAGCAGAACAGCAUCAGUAUCCUGCACCCAAUGUGUUGACACAUAUGAUUGAUGAGGU